UUGAGCCGUGUGAGGGGAAACUUUCACGCACGGUUCUUAGGGGGGAAAGCACCCGUAAGGGUGCUGACCUACCCGAC
rfam:Bacteroidia bacterium 44-10 SCNpilot_bf_inoc_scaffold_544, whole genome shotgun sequence.